CUUGCACACUGGUCUCCAUGUGCAGAAAAAGCAGGAACUUCUAUGGGUGUUGGGGGAUGGGCGCGGAUCUCAGGCUACUGGGUUGAUGUUUCAGAGAGGAGCAUUGCUGCCCCUGCUCCAUAGAAGAGUCUGUGCAAGGGGUAGGGAGUAGCGGGCGGUGGUAAAAUCCACAGUUCCUACCCACUUGGCAAGGCAGAUCCACUCCCACGGUGUUCCACUGAAAGCAGCGAGCUGAGUUCCAGUCAGCCUGUAAUCAGAACUGGCGGCUGCCGGGAGUCAUAAGCUUUCCCCGCAGAGACCGCAGUCCGGGCGUUCAGGCCACGCCCCUCCCUGCGCGCUGCAAAGCCGGCGUGCCCCCGUGGCUCCUGCGAUUGCAGUUUCUGCACCCACAACUCCUGCACCUGUGGCUCCUGCACUUGCAGCCCACUUUUCACCCUCCCCCGCCCUAGCCCUGGCCAAGGAAGUUCGUCCCCACCCGAGGUUGUAUUGUAACCCCGUUGGGAGCUUCUUUCAACCUGCAGCCAGCGCCUGAACUUCGUAGCUGGCCGCAAGGCCUCCUGGAGGAACGGGGCCCUAUUAUAAGCCAUUAUAUGAACCCACAAUGAGUUACAUGAAUUACUGAUCAACUAUGUGGAGUUAACAGGACCCGACAUCUUCAGCUUGAGACUAUUUGCUUCAGAAAGAACAUUCAGACAUCAAAGUCAUCCCAGGAGCCUGUGGAGGUCCCAUACCAGGAGGCAUGCAGGGUCUGGAAUAGCUACCUGAGGCAGUUUGUGAUUCUCAAAGUAUCAGCAUAAAGAAAGAAAGAUCCCUGAACUGGAAUUUUAGAAGCCUACAGUUCUAUCCCUGUAUUCCCCAGUAACAUUCUGCAUGACUUUUUGUCAAGUGCUUCAUCACAAGGUACUUAAGAAGUACCCAUUCUCCCAUGGGUACUUUGCACCUCAUCAUGCUGUAAGUUACUUUGCACCCAUGGGAGCAUGAGUGUGAAAUGGUUUGAAAUACCUGAGACAAAUAUAGAAAUUUAUUGCUAGUAA